rnacentral:snRNA from 1 species
GUGCUCGCGUCGAUGACACAUACACCAAAAUUGGAACGACACGGAGAAGGUGAGCAGGGACCCCGAGUAAGGAUGACACACAGAUUCGUGAAACAUUCCCUAUUUUU